GCGAGUGAAGCGGCAAAAGCUCAAUUUUGAAAUCCCCCCGGGGAGUUGUAAUUUGAAGACUAGGGGAUUUGGCCCAAACCUGCGCAAGUCCAUUGGAACAUGGCGCCCAAGAGGGUGAGAGCCCCGUCGCGCAGGCCGCAGCCUUGACAUCCCCCCGUCAAAGAGUCGAGUUGUUUGGGAAUGCAGCUCAAAGUGGGUGGUAAAUUCCAUCUAAAGCUAAAUAUUGGCGAGAGACCGAUAGCGAACAAGUACAGUGAUGGAAAGAUGAAAAGCACUUUGAAAAGAGAGUGAAACAGUACGUGAAAUUGUUGAAAGGGAAGGGCUUGCAAGCAGACACGAGUUCGCUCGGGCCAGCAUCAAUUUCGCGAGGUGGACAACACGCCAGGAAUGUGGCAGGCUCCGGCCUGUGUUAUAGCCUGCGCGCCAUACACCUCCGCGAGAUUGAGGCCUGCUCCAAAAGGAUGCUGGCGUAAUGGUUGCAAGUCGCCCGUCUUGAACACGGACCA
rnacentral:rRNA from 1 species